AAAAGAAAGCAGAGGCAAGAGGAGCCAGAUUCUGAUUCAGAAUCUGAAUCUGAACAAAGUGAUGAGUAAUGUCCUGAAAUUAUUACUCCUUUCUUUUGGCUUCAUUAUAAAGAUUUCGUGUAUUAACUGAAGUGUCUAUUAUUAACUUAUAGGAGCGAAGAAUCAUCACCUGCAGAGAAGGAGAAGAAAAAGAAAAAAACAAAAACAACACCAAAAAAAACACAACCAAAAAAGAAAAAAGUUGUUGUGGAGGAUUCACCUCCUAAAGAAGAUCAAUACUUUGACGGUGAGACAUAUGAAAUAUCAAGUGACGAACUAGAUGAAUGGCUAAGGGAAAAUGUUGAUAAAUCUGCUGCAGAGGGGGAGAACCAACCUGACCUGCGAUCGACAGAAGGUCGCUAUGUGUCGUCUGAAACGUAAGAACCAACCUGAC